GACGAACGCUGGCGGCGUGCUUAACACAUGCAAGUCGAACGGAAAGGCCCUGCUUUUGUGGCGUCCUCGAGUGGCGAACGGGUGAGUAACACGUGAGUAACCUGCCCUUGACUUUGGGAUAACUUCAGGAAACUCGGGUUAAUACCGGAUAGGAGCUCCUUCUGCAUGGUGGGUGUUGGAAAGUUUCGGCGGUUGGGGAUGGACUCGCGGCUUAUCAGCUUGUUGGUGGGGUAGUGGCUUACCAAGGCUUUGACGGGUAGCCGGCCUGAGAGGGUGACCGGCCACAUUGGGACGGAGAUACGGCCCAGACUCCUACGGGAGGCAGCAGUGGAGAAUAGUGCACAAUGGGCGGAAGGCUGAUGCAGCAACGCCGCGUGCGGGAUGAAGGCCUUCGGGUAGUAAACCGCUUUCGCCUGUGACGAAGCGUGAGUGACGGUAACGGGUAAAGAAGCACCGGCUAACUACGUG
rnacentral:rRNA from 1 species